GACGAACGCUGGCGGCGUGCUUAACACAUGCAAGUCGAACGGAAAGGCCCUGCUUUUGUGGGGUGCUCGAGUGGCGAACGGGUGAGUAGCACGUGAGUAACCUGCCCUUGACUUUGGGAUAACUUCAGGAAACUGGGGCUAAUACCGGAUAGGAGCUCCUGCUGCAUGGUGGGGGUUGGAAAGUUUCGGCGGUUGGGGAUGGACUCGCGGCUUAUCAGCUUGUUGGUGGGGUAGUGGCUUACCAAGGCUUUGACGGGUAGCCGGCCUGGGAGGGUGACCGGCCACAUUGGGACUGAGAUACGGCCCAGACUCCUACGGGAGGCAGCAGUGGGGAAUAUUGCACAAUGGGCGGAAGCCUGAUGCAGCAACGCCGCGUGCGGGAUGACGGCCUUCGGGUUGUAAACCGCUUUCGCCUGUGACGAAGCGUGAGUGACGGUAAUGGGUAAAGAAGCACCGGCUAACUACGUG
rnacentral:rRNA from 1 species